GCGUUGGUAGCUCAGUGGUAGAGUGCAUGCUUCUAUGUAUGAUGUCCUGGGUUCCAUCCCCAGCUGCUCCC